ensembl:processed_transcript expressed sequence BB218582
GGGGUGGUCUCCAAUCAAACAGAGAAAAGGUCCUGGAGAAGAUGUAUCUUUAAAGCUGUCUUGCUGAAUUGGAAGUCCCUGGAGGGCAGAACUGGCACCCUGUUCAAUCUGGAAUGCCCAGAAAUUCAAUCAACAGAAGUCAGUAUUGAUUUCACACUCUCCUGGACCCUUAUUUGAGUCUCUGUGUGGUGGCCCCUCUCCCCGGAAGUGAAGUCUUCCAGACCACCAGUUGCUUUGGUCAGAGUUAUUGGAAUGAGAAGAGAGAAUUUGCCUUUUAAUUGGUCUUUUCCAGACUUCUGGUGAGAUUCCUAACACUACCAACCUCAGGAGUACAGAGCCCAGAGAAAGUCCAUUGGGGUCCAUUUUCAGGAUGGUGCAUAUGGGAACAAUAAUUUAUGAACGGUAAUAAGAGUUGGGGAUGCAAUUCCCUGCCCAACAUCAGGAUAAGUGUACCCCACUGAUUACCAAAUGCACAGAAAAUCCUUGACUAAAUAAGAUAAAAGCCGUCUGCACUUCUUGUUUGUAAGUUGGCAUUUUUCAAAAGC